rnacentral:rRNA from 1 species
UACGUAGGGUGCGAGCGUUGUCCGGAAUUAUUGGGCGUAAAGGGCUCGUAGGCGGUCUGUCGCGUCGGGAGUGAAAACUCAGGGCUUAACCCUGAGCCUGCUUCCGAUACGGGCAGACUAGAGGUAUGCAGGGGAGAACGGAAUUCCUGGUGUAGCGGUGGAAUGCGUAGAUAUUCGGAGGAACACCAGUGGCGAAGGCGGCUCACUGGUCCAUUCUGACGCUGAGGUGCGAAAGCG